UACGGAAGUAACUUUUAUUUUGACAACCUGUCCAUGAUUAUAGCUUUACCGUUACCCGUUUCACUACGCUGUUAACGUUAGUGACAGUGCCAUGGCAACGGCGACGUGAGCGCACGCGAUGAGAUGCUGGCGCUCGUGAAGCACCGGUAACGCUUCCAGAACUUCACCUGUGGGUCUCGGUAAAAGCGCAGCGAGAUGUCCCUGUUUAAGGCGCGGGAGUGGUGGGCGGCCGUGCUGGGCGAGGGGGAGGAGUUUGACCAGGGCUGCCUUUGUGUCGGAGAUGUGGACAACAGCGGAAGUGGUUACGAUAAGGUGGUGGUGGGCAGCUACAUGGGAAUGCUGCGGAUUUUUGCCCCCCACGCCACCAGGCCGGCCGAGCAGAGCGGAGUGGACGCCCAGCUGCUGGAGGUCCAACUGCGAGACCCCAUCAUCCAGGUGGAAGUGGGCAAGUUUGUCUCGUGCUCGGAGCUGCUUCACUUGGCCGUGUUGCAUCCCAGAAAACUAUCCAUCUACGCCGUCUCAGGUACUGCUGGAAAUGUGGAACAUGGGGAUCAGUACCAGCUCCGACUGGUUUAUGAGCACAACCUGCAGAGGACGGCCUGCAACAUGACCUACGGCCCCUUCGGAGGGGUCACUGGACAUCACUUCAUUUGCAUCCAGUCCAUGGACGGAAUGCUGAUGUUCUUCGAGCAGGAGAGCUACGCGUUUGGACGCUUCCUGCCCGGAUUUUUACUCCCAGGGCCCCUGUGUUACUGCGCCCGAACCGACGCCUUCAUCACCGUCUCCUCCUCCCGCCAGGUGGAGUGCUACAGGUACGAGACACUAGCAGUCGCCACGGACGCAGACACCAGACAGAACUCGGAACAGCAGAGCAAGAGCUCUGGGAAGAGGCUUACGGCUGAGUGGACACUAGUGUUAGGAGAGCAGGCGCUGGAUAUCUACGUCCCCUCCGUCUCUCCAUCAGCCUCCUCCAUCUUCAUACUUGGGGAAAGGAACCUGUUCUGCCUCCGGGACAACGGCCAAAUCCGCUUCAUGAAGAAACUCGAGUACAACCCCAGCUGCUUCCUUCCCUAUGCCUCAGUUUCCGAGGGUACAACCAACGUCCUGCUGGCCAACCAUAACAACAUGCUGCUGGUGUAUCAGGACACAACGCUGAAGUGGGCGGCUCAGCUCGCCUGUGUGCCCGUGGCCGUGCGCGUCGCUAAUUUCCCGGAACUCAAGGGCCUGGUGGUGACCCUGAGCUCUGAAGGUCAUCUGCAGUGCUCCUACAUGGGCACGGAUCCCUCCUUCUUCACCGCGCCGAAGGUGGACUCCCGAGAGGUCAACUACGAAGAGGUGGAGACUGAGAUGAAGGCUCUCCAGAAGGUCAUCCGUGAAGCCACCAGGAACCAGGACAUCAUCCCCAAAGCUGAAGCAGAGGAUGACCUGAUGGUGACGGCUGUUGUCUCCACCAACCUGGAUGAUGUCUCGCAAGCCAUUAUCCCGGAGCUCAACGGCAUUGCUGUCCCUUCAGUUACAGUCAAGAUUAAAGUGAGCAGCCGCUUUGCUGUCCAGAGCGCGAAGAUGAGUGUGUGUGUGCACCCACCUCUGGCUGUCACUCAGGACCAGUUUGUAUUAGACUCUUUAGGGAGUGGCUCUCAGGUAGUCGUGGCAUUCUCAGCUUUUCUGAACGGCCACUACACUCCAGCUGACCUGACCGGAGACGUGGCUGUGUCCUACAGUUCACCCACAGAGCUGAACCCUGCAGGAGUUCCGCGAGUAGCCCAGUGCAAGUUCGUGCUGCCUCUCUGCCUGGUUUGCUGCCCCACCACUGCCUCCAAGAAUGCCAAGUACAAGAUCACUGUGGACACCAACAAACCUCCCAUCAACCUCAGUGAAGCCUUCCCAGAAUUUUCAGGGAAGGCCGAGGAUAAGGAGGGUAACGCCCUAGCCUUCCAGUUUAUCGCUGGCUCUCGGGUCACCGUCCUGGCCUCCAAAACAUCCCAGCGUUACAGGAUCCAGAGCGAAAGCUUUGAGGAUAUCUGGCUGGUUGCCAAGGAGUUGGUGCAACGUUUCGAGCGGCAUUUUGCCAAGCUCGGAGUCAAAGAUUUCCGCAACAGCUUUUCCGGCCCGAUCCCACUAACUGAAUACUUUGAGACUGUGGACCACCACUUUGAGCUCCGAGUGAACGCACAGAAGUAUCAGGACCUGCUUUCAGAGCGAGCCGUCCAGUUCAGAGCCAUCCAACGGCGACUGCUCACACGCUUUAAAGACAAGACUCCAGCACCGUUACAGAACCUUGACACACUCAUGGAGGGCACUUACCGUCAGGUGAUAGCAUUGGCGGAUGCAGCGGAGGAGAAUCGAGCGUGUUUGGUGCAGGCCUUCUCCAGGUUAUGCAGCGCCACGCACCUGCUCAUCCUUCUGGUCUCUCUUUGGCAGGGACUCAGCAUCGAUCAAACCGCUAUCCUGGAGGCGACGCUACUGCCACUGCUGCAGGAUACACCACAACUGGGCUGGGAGGAGAGCGUGGACGCAGCUGUGUCUCAUCUCUUGAGAACGUGUCUGUCGAGAAGUCCCAAGGACCAAGCCAUUAGCCUGAGCACAUCCCAGCUGAGCAUGCCCAAAGAUACCUCACGCCUCAAGAAACACAUCACGCUACUCUGCGAUCGCAUCGGCAAGGGAGGCCGCCUGUCUCUUUCCUCUGAAGCUAACGCUCCAACACCUGUUAUGAUGCCAGCGUGCUGCGAGGUCAUCCCUGAGUCGAUCGCUGAGGAGGAAGAAGAUCCAGCCUUGCAGCAGGAGGCCACUGAGAAGAUCAUCAAGAAGAAGCAACCCUCAAAGAAAGUGAAAAGCAAAACAGCCUUGUGGUCAUUAGAAGAGAAUGUUAACCACUGAGCCGCCAUCGUACACGUCACACUGCCUAACGCCAGCGAUGGAAGAAACCCACAUCUGGAGCCUCCAGCUCUUUUCUUGAUGGGUGUGCCUCUAUGUGACUCUGUGGUUCUCUCCUUUUUUUUUUUUUUGUUGGUGCUACUUUGCCCUGCGUCUUCAGGCAUCUCAUGGUCCAUCUGGUUCUACUCUCUUCUCCUCCUGCCUCGCAGCCUGAUUGGGCAUAAUAGCUGGCGAAUCGCAAUUUUUCCGCCCAUUAUCAACUUGAGAUUUUGCCAUAGUGCUCCAAAUCGUUUUUUUUUUUUUAAUCAAAUGAAUUAAAGCUGUGUGCUUUGAAUCCUUGAAUCACAGCUUUAGAAAAGAAGCGUAUGUGUGCGUUUGUGUGCGUUUGUGUGUGAGAGAGAGUGUGUGAGCGUGAGGAGGGUAUUCUCCUCCGGGAUCUAGUACAGAAUAAAAAAAAAAAAACAAGCUCAUAGGAAAUGCACACAGUGUUAUUUUUUAAACACAAUUUAUUUCACAUUGUGUGAGGUUAAGUGUGUGCAGGUGGUUUCAUGUGUAGCUUGCGUGUGUGUUUAUGUGCAAUCAUUCUGGGCAGACAGUCAAACCGUGCAUCAUAUUGCACAUUAAUAGGAUUGUAUGUUGUCCCAUUGGCUCUAAAAAUUCUGACAAAGCCUUAAAGCUGCCCUCUCUGUUUGUAGUUUGCAGUGACGUCUCUUAUUGGCGUACACAUGCACAUGCACACACAUGGAGGAAUAACGUCAUAAUCCACUUGGAAAGAUGUUUACUUUGGUUUGGAGUCAAACCCAUGUUAUGAGCAAAGCUCUCAGUUUCACUCACACGCCAUUUUUUUCUCUAAACCACAUCAGAAUUAAAAGCUCUUUAUUUGUCAAUAGAAGUACACAGGGUUUUGACUUUGCAUAUCAGCGCACCAAUCUACAAAAUAUACCAAGUGAUGACAAAUUAAAGGAAAAUCCGACAUCAAGUAAAAUGUCGCCAGAACAGCUACAAGUCUCUGGAACCAUAUUGAAGCGAUGAACACUGUUCUUCCAAAUGAUAUUCCCACAGGAUGGUGAUGUGGUUAAAACUAGCUAUGAGGACAUGGUGGUCCAGAUCCCAGUAGUUUCAGAGGUUGUUUAUUUGUUUAGUUAACCUCCCAGGUAGCCUAUCUUCAAUUGUCAAAUUCAGUACAGAAACAAUGACGUCCCGCUAAUAUGGCAGAACAUGUCCUACCAUGAGAAGAAAUGUUCUAACAAUUCCAAGACUACCCAUUCAGCAGUGAUGAUUCAUUCUCAACUGACCUCAGAGCAGAACUUUAGGUUUGUCCAUAGACGUAAUCGUCCACUAUAUUCAGAGAAGCAAGAAGCAACUGGAGCCAGAGCAGCUUGUAGAAGACUGAGAUUUUUUUCAAUUCUAUACAAAUUAGGUAUUAUACAUUCAAGUGUCAUAGUGACAAAUCCAAACAAUUGGCUUGACUGAUUCCUCAGACCAAUCCUUUGGCACCAGUCAAAACUUUCGUCAGUUCCCCACUCACAACUUUACAUAUAUGAAGCUAGUACAGUUAUCUUGCUUUGCUAAUCUGCGACAAAGUUAUUUCAAAGCUAAGCACAUUACAUAUAAAUCAAACAACCAGUUUUCACACUAUUUCAUUUGUAUUUAACUAGGUAUAUUGCAAAUACAGUUUCUUAUCAGAAACAAAACAAAAAAAAUGCUGGACAGGCCAUGCCUACAAGAGACAAACUACAAGCAGCACUUGUUAGUUUGAAUGUAGGGUAAUACUUCACUCCAAAGUCUCCCAUAAGUGUUCAAUUGGGUAGAGAUCUGGUGCCUGAUGGAUGGGGGUGGGGUCAUCCUGGAUGAGACUACGCCCAUCAGCAUAGAAAUGUUUCAUCAUAGGAUAAAGGUGAUCAGUGAGAAGAACUUUGUUUUGAUUUGCAGGUGACAAGUGCUAAGUGGACCCAAACCAUGUCAAAAACAGAGCCUAUUUUUUCUAUUUAAAUUGUCAUCCGUCUGUAUGUAAAAUGAAACUGGAAGUGGUCCGUAGUAGAAAUUUGGUGUAGUGUAGCGUAGUGUAGUGUAAAACUUUUGGAAAAAAAACAAUGGUUUAUAAAUUUGGUCUAAGAAAAGCUUCCUUUACAGUUCCAACACAGAUGUAUGUGAGUGAACAUGUGCAAAAUCCACAAGUCCUAAUGUGGUUAAUCCACCCAGGCGUCGUGCCUAACGAGCAGUGCCUCACGCGGGAGGUGGAAGAGGUUGGGAGUCGCCAUGUGCGGUGCAUGGGGAUUGUUAAGACUCUAUUACACAGUUAUUUUCCUGUCAAAAGUAAUCAUAAGGAAAGUCAGCAAUCAGAUGUGAAUAUAUGUACUGAAAAUCUUUAGAAUAAACAUUUUACAAUUGCGAAUACCAGUUCACAUAAUUAAAACUUUCUCAUUAGUGUAGCAUUUUAAGAGAGCUGAGGGAAUGGGACUGCAACACACACUUUUAUAAAUUACAGCUACAAACUAUCAAAAAAAUGGUCAUUUUUUAAACCAGUAGUGUGAGAAAUAAAGUACACUGAAUGUGUGAAUAAUGAUUAGAGAAGUGUACAUAGAGUUUAUGUUAAAAGUUAAGUAAUGAACUAAAUAGAAAUAAAGGAGCUUUGGUAUAAAAACAUGAUUUUUGUGUUGCCAUAUGAAUCAUUUUGACAAGAAACUAACUCCAUACCUUUCAGACACAAAUACAACCGGAAGAAUGGUGCCUCAGAACGUGUGCGUGUGUGCGUGUGUGUGUGCAUGUGUGUGUGUGUUUAGCAGCCCUUGCCCACCCAGCGAUUCCAAUUAAAACUACGAAAACAAAAUAAAAGGCAAAACAAACAUUCAAAAUCAAGUGCACUUUUCCACAGUGAUGCCAAUUAGUGGCAAUGCCACACAGUUCGCAAGCAAUGAUGCAGUGAAGCAGGAAAUGUUCCCAAACAGAUUAAGCACAAAUUUAAAAUUUGAUUAUGUGCUUUGGUGGAUAUAUUGACUUAAUUUUUUUUAAAAGGUUAGAGAAAUGCAGCAGAGAAAUCAGUCAUUCUGUCAGGUGUCCACAAAUCUGCCUCUCACUUAAAAGACGGGUUUCAAACAUGUAGUGCAGUUUCCAAAGCACAUGUCCAAUGUCAGUUGAUGCAGGAUCAUGUUCGAAUGGUUCUUUAGGCAGGUGAGAACAUAGCAAGCACACUUGGGUGCAGACCAAAGCCAACCAAUCUGCGAGAUUCUGAGCGAAGUGAUCUCAGUCUUGUUUAAGUCAAACUCUAGAGUAAUUUGGUCACUUGCCAAUUCCCUCCAUCCAGAUCUCCCCAGUCAUACAUUAGCUACCAAUAGGCAGGGUGAAGGCUAAUACAUGCUUCCUCCGAGACACGACGUCAGCCAACCGCAUCUUUGCCUAUGAACUCUUGUGCUACGUCACAAGGCAGCAUAACACACUUGGAGGAAAUUGUUAUCUGCCCUCUUCCACAUACAUUAGCUCACAGAUGCCCAUGAUUGGCUAGUAUCACUGAUUAACAGAUGAGAAAGUGUGUCCCUCCCACCCAGAGAUGUGAUGUCGUUGGGAUUCGAACUUGCAAUCUCCCGACGAUAGGGCAAACACAUUUCUUGCACUGGAACUUUUUACGGGGAAAGUAGUUUCACCGUAUGAUCACCUAACAAAUCUUGUUAUAAUUGGCCUGUUUUCCUAGUUCAUUUCCAUGAAAUUAUAUAAGUGUGAUAAGUAUUCACAUGAAAGGUCUGUUGGCCCAGUUAUGUUUCAAUGUCAUUAAAUUGGAUUCCUUGUUGAAUUCCUGUUGCCUUUGUGAUUUGCCAAGCUCCACCAAUGCGCCAUUUUACUGAUUAGUGAUUAACUAGAGUUUUCAUUGCAGUGUUUUGUAAUUUUAUAUUAUUAUGACAACAGUGUCAGAAUUGCACUCCUUCUCUAUGUGCUUUUGCCACAAAAAGUGUGAUGGCUUAAGUUUAGAUUAAGAUUUUAAACAUCAAGGGAUCAGCGGAGGCCAAACAAGCCUGUAGCACUCCGGAUCUUCCACAGAGCUCUGUGCAAACUCUCUAAACAGCUUUUGAUUCUCUUCCUCUUUGGAUCCCACCUGUGCCAAAACAACAAAGCUUCCUUUACCACCCCCACCACUCAUAAAGAACUGAGGAGAACCAGGACACGUCAGACGGUUUGAAACAGGCUCCGUCAUCUCCCUGGCCUCAGAGAAAAAACAAAAAUGGAAAUUAUUAAUCUCUAAUUAGUUGUCUGUAAUGCAGAUCUUCAGAUGAGGCCCUUUUUUUUUUUUAAAGGAGAGUGCAUCUGCUUGGACAUGCCCUUCAAUAACCAACCCCCCUACCUAACCCAUCACAGAGAGAAUGAUUAAAAAAAAAAUUUCACACAUUUCCCUUCCCAGCACACACGCACGCACAAACACACACACAGUCUGACAUAAAGAUAAUUAGGGAGAUGAAACCACCUAACAGGGUUCAGGACAGGCAGGAAGCAUCUCUAGUGGAGUUGAAAGGCUUCAAACGGUGGCUUUGGAUAUGAGCUACUGCACUCCUUGGGUGGAACACAUGAAAGGUAGAUGAAACUGAGAUGAAAGGGAGAGUGUCUUUUUUCUUUCAGUCUCUUCCCCCUCUCAAACACACACACUUAUACCGAUCGACCUGCUAUUACAACACCACCAGCCGAGCUGAGGGACCAGCUCUCAGAAAGUAAUGCAAUGGUUUGAGUUGAGGAUGAUAAAUCAUAGCAUGGACAUUGCUAUUGUGAUGGAUUGGUGGGUGGUGACACCAUACGUGUUUCAGUUUGAUGUCUGCUUAGAAGUCUGCUCAAACUAGAGAGAAAUCUGCAUGGUUCCACUUUCUCCACUAUUCCUGUGAGAGCACAGGUGUUUUCAACCGGUUCUCACUCUCUAUCCUUGAGGCUGGAAGCGAGGGAUAGAGAAAGUCUGCCCAGAAACCCAGGCCAAACCCAAACAGCGCAAACCUGAUUAGUCCAACAUCAGUGUUGCAACAUCACCACUCUAUGUAUUCUGCUUUGGUUCUGAUGCCUGACCUGGCACCAAAACCUCCAGCGCAAAUAAAAUUCCAUUAGUCAUCGUUAUCUGAUUCAGUCAGACAUGACCUUUGGAAUCUUAGUGAGAAGAUAGACAGCACUACACCACUUCAGCUGAAGAUUUCGCAGCUAUCAUCAUAACAGCUAUCAUCUGCUCCAGUUGUUAAUCCUCUACACGAUUCUCUAGGGAGUCAUAGGGAAGUGAGAGAGUAAGCGAGAACCUACGUUGAAACAGAUGCUAGACUGGGAGGCAAACGCCAAGAGGGGAAGUAUCUACCCAAGGCUCGUAUUUUAUGACCUUGCUGUCCUGGUUGGGGAGAAUUUGAAGGUUCAUCAAAAGAAAAGAAAGAGAAGGAUUCAGAGAAGGAGUUAAAAGAGAUCAAGAAGGACUCAAAAGAGCCAACCAAGGAGAAAGAGUCAAAGAAGGAGUUCAAAGAGUCGAAGAAAGAAUCGAGCAGGGAGAACG